AUUAUCUCUGGCGAUGGGAGAGUUUUUUAAAAAUGGCGUCGGACGGUGGAGACCGUGGUGCUUGCAAAAAAAUCCACGGGACUCUUACAACAACCGACGGACAACACCCGGGACAUUAGCGUUUACUGAUGAUUUGUGGCGUCUUGGAUGUCUUUCACUUCUAGACAAGAUCUUCUGAACGUGUACAUCGUUUGACAAAGAUGCAAACUAAAUGAGUGCCAGACUGCCAGGUGUGGGGGAACUGUCCUGCGGACAACAGGUCUCCCAUGCCAGACUGCCAGGUGUGGGGGAACUGUCCGUGUGAGACAAGUCUGGAUUUAGGACACCAUCACCCAACUGUCAAGCUCCACAGCUGUUGAAACCAGAGAUGGAUCAAAGUCUGUGUCAUCAUCAAUGGAUCAAGAUAUCAACCUCUGCCACUCUUCACUAAAGAGAGGACCGCUCUGGUGAUGUGUGGGUUACAGGAGAGACUGGCUACCACAGAUACAGCCCCAGGCCGGGUCUGUCUCUCUCCUCACCUAGCUGUCCGUCCGUCUCUCUCCUCACCUAGCUGUCCGUCCGUCUCUCUCCUCACCUAGCUGUUCGUCCGUCUCUCUCCUCACCUAGCUGUCCGUCCGUCUCUCU